ACGAACGCUGGCGGCACGCUUAACACAUGCAAGUCGAACGAGAGAAGAGGAGCUUGCUUUUCUGAUCUAGUGGCGGACGGGUGAGUAACACGUGAGCAAUCUGCCUUUCAGAGGGGGAUACCGAUUGGAAACGAUCGUUAAUACCGCAUAACAUAAUUGAACCGCAUGAUUUGAUUAUCAAAGAUUUAUCGCUGAAAGAUGAGCUCGCGUCUGAUUAGCUAGUUGGUAAGGUAACGGCUUACCAAGGCGACGAUCAGUAGCCGGACUGAGAGGUUGAUCGGCCACAUUGGGACUGAGACACGGCCCAGACUCCUACGGGAGGCAGCAGUGGGGAAUAUUGCACAAUGGAGGAAACUCUGAUGCAGCGAUGCCGCGUGAGGGAAGAAGGUUUUAGGAUUGUAAACCUCUGUCUUCAGGGACGAAAAAAGACGGUACCUGAGGAGGAAGCUCCGGCUAACUACGUGCCAGCAGCCGCGGUAAUACGUAGGGAGCGAGCGUUGUCCGGAAUUACUGGGUGUAAAGGGAGCGUAGGCGGGAUCGCAAGUCAGAUGUGAAAACUAUGGGCUUAACCCAUAAACUGCAUUUGAAACUGUGGUUCUUGAGUGAAGUAGAGGUAAGCGGAAUUCCUAGUGUAGCGGUGAAAUGCGUAGAUAUUAGGAGGAACAUCAGUGGCGAAGGCGGCUUACUGGGCUUUAACUGACGCUGAGGCUCGAAAGUGUGGGGAGCAAACAGGAUUAGAUACCCUGGUAGUCCACGCCGUAAACGAUGAUUACUAGGUGUGGGGGGACUGACCCCUUCCGUGCCGCAGCAAACGCAAUAAGUAAUCCACCUGGGGAGUACGACCGCAAGGUUGAAACUCAAAGGAAUUGACGGGGACCCGCACAAGCGGUGGAGCAUGUGGUUUAAUUCGAAGCAACGCGAAGAACCUUACCAAGUCUUGACAUCCUUCUGACCGGUACUUAAUCGUACCUUCUCUUCGGAGCAGGAGUGACAGGUGGUGCAUGGUUGUCGUCAGCUCGUGUCGUGAGAUGUUGGGUUAAGUCCCGCAACGAGCGCAACCCUUACUGUUAGUUGCUACGCAAGAGCACUCUAGCAGGACUGCCGUUGACAAAACGGAGGAAGGUGGGGAUGACGUCAAAUCAUCAUGCCCCUUAUGACCUGGGCCUCACACGUACUACAAUGGCUGUCAACAGAGGGAUGCAAAGCCGCGAGGUGGAGCGAACCCCUAAAAGCAGUCUUAGUUCGGAUUGUAGGCUGCAACCCGCCUACAUGAAGUCGGAAUUGCUAGUAAUCGCAGAUCAGCAUGCUGCGGUGAAUACGUUCCCGGGCCUUGUACACACCGCCCGUCACGCCAUGGGAGUCGGUAACACCCGAAGCCUGUAGUCUAACCGCAAGGAGGACGCAGUCGAAGGUGGGAUUGAUGACUGGGGUG
rnacentral:rRNA from 1 species